rnacentral:rRNA from 1 species
UAAGUAUAAGCAACUUGUACUGUGAAACUGCGAAUGGCUCAUUAAAUCAGUUAUCGUUUAUUUGAUAGUACCUUACUACAUGGAUACCUGUGGUAAUUCUAGAGCUAAUACAUGCUAAAAACCCCGACUUCAGGAAGGGGUGUAUUUAUUAGAUAAAAACCAACGCCCUUCGGGGCUCCUUGGUGAAUCAUAAUAACUUAACGAAUCGCAUGGCCUUGCGCCGGCGAUGGUUCAUUCAAAUUUCUGCCCUAUCAACUUUCGAUGGUAGGAUAGUGGCCUACCAUGGUGGCAACGGGUAACGGGGAAUUAGGGUUCGAUUCCGGAGAGGGAGCCUGAGAAACGGCUACCACAUCCAAGGAAGGCAGCAGGCGCGCAAAUUACCCAAUCCCGAUACGGGGAGGUAGUGACAAUAAAUACUGAUACGGGGCUCUUUUGGGUCUCGUAAUUGGAAUGAGAACAAUUUAAAUCCCUUAACGAGGAACAAUUGGAGGGCAAGUCUGGUGCCAGCAGCCGCGGUAAUUCCAGCUCCAAUAGCGUAUAUUAAAGUUGUUGCAGUUAAAAAGCUCGUAGUUGAACCUUGGGUCUGGCUGGCCGGUCCGCCUCACCGCGAGUACUGGUCCGGCUGGACCUUUCCUUCUGGGGAACCCCAUGGCCUUCACUGGCUGUGGGGGGAACCAGGACUUUUACUGUGAAAAAAUUAGAGUGUUCAAAGCAGGCCUUUGCUCGAAUACAUUAGCAUGGAAUAAUAGAAUAGGACGUGUGGUUCUAUUUUGUUGGUUUCUAGGACCGCCGUAAUGAUUAAUAGGGAUAGUCGGGGGCGUCAGUAUUCAGCUGUCAGAGGUGAAAUUCUUGGAUUUGCUGAAGACUAACUACUGCGAAAGCAUUCGCCAAGGAUGUUUUCAUUAAUCAGGGAACGAAAGUUAGGGGAUCGAAGACGAUCAGAUACCGUCGUAGUCUUAACCAUAACUAUGCCGACUAGGGAUCGGACGGGAUUCUAUAUGACCC